GGGCUGGCUUUAGCCCAGCAGUUCCUUGGAGUCUGGCUUCCCAAUGGCCCCGGCACAUUGGUCUGGUGGUUCGAGACCCGCGGGCACUCUCCAGUCCUUUU
ensembl:misc_RNA Vault Vault RNA